UGAGAAAAUCAGUCAAUGCAAUCCACCAUUUUACUGUCUAAAGAAGAAAAGCGGCCAGAUGUUCUUCCCCGAGAGUCGUCGGGGUUUCCUGCUUCAACAGUGCUAGGACGGAACCCGGCGCUCGUCCCCAUCCUGGCCGGCCGCCCAUAGCCAGCCCUCGGUCACCUCUUCACCGCGCCCUCGGACCGCCCAAGGACCCCGCCGCCGCCGCUCCAGCGCCGCGCAGCCACCGCCGCUGCAGCCGCCACCUGUCCUUAGCCUCCGCCAUGACGACCGCGUCCACCUCGCAGGUGCGCCAGAACUACCACCAGGACUCAGAGGCCGCCAUCAACCGCCAGAUCAACCUGGAGCUCUACCCUUCCUACGUUUACCCGUCCAUGUCUUACUACUUUGACCGCGAUGAUGUGGCUUCGAAGAACUUUGCCAAAUACUUUCUUCACCAAUCUCAUGAGGAAAGGGAACAUGCCGAGAAACUGAUGAAGCUGCAGAACCAACGAGGUGGCCCAAUCUUCCUUCAGGAUAUCAAGAAACCAGACUAUGAGGACUGGGAGAGCGGGCUGAAUGCGAUGGAGUGUGCAUUACAUUUGGAAAAAAAUUGUGAAUCGGUCACUACUAGAACUGCACAAACUGGCCACUGACAAAAAUGACCCCCAUUUGUGUGACUUCAUUGAGACACAUUACCUGAAUGAGCAGGUGAAAGCCAUCAAAGAAUUGGGUGACCACGUGACCAACUUGCACAAGAUGGGAGCACCCGAAUCUGGCUUGGCAGAGUAUCUCUUUGACAAGCAUACCCUGGGAGACAGUGAUAAUGAAAGCUAAGCCUCAGGCUAACUU